UGUCUCUUAACCCAUUCUGGUGCCUCCAGGGGGUUGGGAAACCCCCUUUCUUAAAGUAAUCAGGGACCCUCCUAGCCUCCUCAUUAGUGUAGGAAAUGAGUGCCUCUUCUCCAGUCUAUCAGCUCAUCUCAGUAAGUGAGCUUUCCCAAGAGUCUUUGGAAGGGUGGUUGCUCAAAACUCAGAGCAUAUUUAUAUGUAAUAAAUGGUGACAAGGCUCCCAAGUCAGUGCACCAAAGUCCAUUUAACCGAUAAUGUGCCUAAAAUAGUAUUAAUAGUUAGAACAGUCCAGGACAAUGUAAGGUUGCUGAAGACCCUAAAUUCAUCUGAGCCCAGGGUUUUUCAUGCCUCUUUAGUCCUUGGACAGUGACAAGGAUGUAGUAGGAAAUAACAAUAGCUAGUAUUUAUUGGGCAUUUGCCAAGUGCUUGAAACUACAUGCAUUUGACCUUCGCAGCAGCUCUAGACAAUAAGUAUGAAAAUUAACCUCCAGAAACGGAGGCCCAGAGAACCUAAGCGACUUCUCAAAGUCAUGGAGGAGACAAGCAAUAGAGGCAGGAACAGAGCCCAGGAGUCUGGAUCCAAAACCAGUGUGACUAAGAAGUGUGCUGUAUUUCCCAGUAGGCCUUAUCUGCUGUCUUAGGGUUGGGGAGAAAGCCCAUGGGAGCUCUACCUUGCAGGCAGCCACCAUGUGCGCAGGGAAAUUCCACAAGCAAGCAGUGGGGAAUGGGUGGAAGGGAGCCCAGGGGAAUCCCUCCACAAAGGUGGGAAGAGUUUUACAACCACACAAGCUCUGGUGCUUUGGGGACAGGGGAGUGUCAGUGUGAUAGCCAUAGGAGAUGAUGGAGCUGCUUGUACUGGAGAGAACAGGUUGGUCUUUUCUUCACAGUUUCUAAUGCUGCUCUGAGCCAUGGUCUUGGGCAAGUUGGGUUACUGCUCUAUAAAAUAAGCACUGUAACAGUUCUCACCUCUAGGGUCUUUAUGGGGAUUAAAUGAGAUAAGUCACCAGUACUCUGCACAGUGCCUGGCACCCACUGCACAGUGCCUUGCACGCACAUUAUAUGCAUGUGUCUUCAUAUAAUUAUAACCAUUAUCACUACAACAGGAUAUCAUCCGACUCUGAAGAAAGCCAAAACCCACUGGAAAGUCCUUCUCAAUAGACAAUGAAUGAAGUACACCAAGCACUUUGCGGGAUCAUGGAGCCAUAACUACUACAGUGAUGGACACGGAGCCCUUCUUGCAAAGAGCUAUGAAUCUACAGGACCAAACCAUCAGGCAUUGCAGUGAGAUCUAAAUUUCCUGAAUGAAGAGACUAUGAAGACUUAUUUUAGCUUCUCUUCUCCUUGCAUCUGAAAAGAAACUCCUGGCUGGGGCUUCUCCUUCUCGGUUGAAAGUCAUCAGGAAAACCACCUUGGAAAUUUAAGGGUGGGCUGGUGAAUGUAAAAACUGAAUUUGGAGUUGGACGGUCUUAUGAUUGAUGGUCAAAUAUCUAAGAACUUGAAGUUACUUGCUGAAGCUGUGGAAAAACUUGAGCAACUUCCCCUGCCCCAACGCAGACCACACACCCCUCUAUAGUGACAGGGAUAUUUAUGGGGAAAUACACUUCUUGUUCCAGGGUGAUUUUCAGCCUCCCAUUUUGUGAAGGUUUCCUACUGGACUUGCUAGAAAGUAGAAAAUGCUGAGUUGCUACAGUCUACAGUAGUAGGACAUGUCCAGCCGUCCCUGGAGUUCAGUUCAGUUCCACUCAGGCAGAUUUAUUACACUCUGUACACCUACUAAUGAGUGAAAGAGACAGGAUUUCUACCCUCAAGGAGUUCAGAUGAUAGGUAAGGCUGAGGUUCAUACAUACAAUUGCAGUUAUAAUGGAGGCUACACUAUCCACCUUCCCAAGGACUGUAAAAUUCCUGAAAACAAAAGUGAUUUUCAAGAGAUACUGGAAGUCUAUCACUUGGUUCUGCUCUCUGGUUGUUGCCAGGUUCUCGCCAGAUUCUCUGAACAAGCGUCUGACUGGACGUCUCCCUUCAAAAGCUAAUUACUCUGUGAAGAAUGUCACGAUUGUCUCUUAGUAUUGCUUCAUGGCACAUUCCUGGUGAAUUCAUCUCCAGACUAAUCUACCCUCACAACAAGAUACUAUUUCUUUACCAUUCCACAAACCAAAUCCAGAUUUUUCAUUCUGCUCUAUUAUAUAUGAUGAGUUCAGAAUUCUGAGUGAUUUCUGAAGUAUUUUCUCUCUCCUGAGGGCUUCAGAGAGGCAGCUCUGGGACAUGAUUCCGGAGCUUCUGGGAUAAGCAGGUAUUCCUGGGCCUAGGUUGUGAUAUAGUGACAGUUGCUUUGGUUUGCAGUGUCCUGAGGGCCAGCUGACUAGAAGGUUGCAAUCCUUCCAACUAGGGGCACUCGGUUGUCCUUUGAAGUAGAGGAAGGUUUAAGGAAGUGAAAUCCUCUUAUUUUAAGAGCCUAAUCAGGAACUGAGUCAAAACACCAUUUGGCAAUACUUUGAUGCAUGAUUCUCUAAGGCUAACAAAAAAGUUUUGAAGAAACGGAUGAAUAGUUUCUUUUUCCAUCUAGAUAAAUUUUUUAAAAAAUACUGGAGUCAUAGGGCAAACAGCAGAAUACAAGUAUUUAUGACCCUGGAUAUCACAUAUAAAACAAAGUUACUACUGAGGGCAAGGACAUUUCUACCUGGAAGGUCUGAAACAUCACAUGAAUGAGCCAGAACCUGGGCUUUCAUUCUGGCUGCCAGGCCAAUGUAUCAGAUAUUUUAGGGUUCAUUUGAUUUGGUUCAAGCAAAGUGGAAAAAGUCAGGGGUAAAGAUAGAUAUCUUAGGCCCAGAUUAACAGUCUGGAAGCAAAUAUGGGAUUUUCCCUCAUUAUUUGAGAAGAAACCUGAGUAUCCACAAGAAGAAAAAAAAUGAAAGCAUGCUCUUAACCAGAACAGCCGCUGAGAAAGAGCCAGGUGCAAGCUUUGGCGACAAGAUAAGCUUUUUUUCUCUCCUCCUCCACCUGUAUUCUUUCCCAAUGUCUCCACCCCACCCUUCACCCAAACACUUUCCUCCUUCCGUCCCCUUAAAAAUCACCAAAAACACCGGCUAUGAUUAAUGGCUAAGGGAUAAGAACAGAUGUGCAAUCCUCAUACAUUCUUGGUUUGGAUCAAACUGACUCUUCUGAACUCCCCUUUCUAAAACUCCCCAUAAUGCUUUGCCAUCAGCCUCCCUCCUCCCCUUUCCUCUCUGAAGCAUGCUAAUUAAAGUUCCACCAGUGAAGGACUUGAGCUGGCUCUCUCUGCCGGAUCCCUAACUGUGUCAUGCCCCUGCUUCCUAAUUGGACAUGCCAGCAGAAAUCAGUGCAAAGCGACUUCUGUGGGAGCAGCUGCUGAGGCUGUUCCCCGACCCCCAUGCUCAUCACCCCUCCUCCGAUGAGGAUAUUUUUCUGUCGUCACACCUUGGGCAGUAUUUCAGAAGCUUACUUAUCCUGCCGCUCACUUUCUCUACCCCUACACCUCUGCCCCCAAACAAGACAGUAGGAGAGAAACAUGAGAUUUGAUUUUAUCCUAAUUGAACAAUAGCCCUUAUUUCAUCUCAAGUAAGAUAAAUGGGCUGUCCAACCUCACUCCUCACUUUGUCUGUAAUGAGGCUUCCCUCUCAACUGUUUACUAAAGUAUUAAAAAGCACUUUGCAGCACCUGCUGGUAUCGUCCGUCAAAGAGAGUCAAUGGUACAGAUGAAGACAUAUGAGAAAGGCGGAGAGAUAUGGGGCCUUUAUGAAACUUCAGAUUCCAGACCUAUUAGAAAGAACUGCUUCCCUCUCUAUGAAUUCAGUGGGGAGGGGGUUGGGGAAGGCCCUUUUCUUCUUGGCAGCAAAGUGCUUUCUAUAGGGCAGGACAGCACUUGGCAGGUUUUCCCAGGGUCAGACCAAGGUGGGUAACUGAUUGCAGCCAUUAAUGUCCAGGUGGUAAGAAAUUGCCUAAAUUCCGAGAUCCUAAUAAGUCAUUAGCAUUUCUAUACUGAAUGCACUUGUGUGGACCCUUCCCUCACCCACGGUGAUAAAACACAUGUCUGUUCCUGCUCAUGCUCUAUCUCCGGCUGUUCUUUGAAGAGAUGAGCACUUUCAGAAGUUGAUUGCUGCAACGGUGAGUACCCCAGGAUUGGGAGCCUGGAGAACAGCACCCACGAGGGUUUUGACACUGAAUGCUGUGUGACCUUACACGAGGAACUAAACUUCCCUGCUACAUAAUUUCUUCCCUUACAAUAUAAAGAGGCAACGUGUUCUACUGCUAAGUAUUCUGGUACAGGUAAUGAAAAACCAUCUGUUUGAUGUACUGAGAUUUUUCGGUAAGAAUUAAGUGUGGAUGUUUGAUUGGGUUACAGCCACAGUCCUGUUCGAAGCUUGCAUUCAACAAUUUGGGAGCCUACUGCGCACAUACAUGAGGCAGAAAGGAAGAUAAGACAUAGAAACGUACAAAGUGAAAAUAAAAAGCACAGCUAUACUAGUCAAGUGUCUCGUCUAAGAGCCCACCGAUACCUCUUCCUGAUGGCCUCUCAAGUAACUAAACUGUUCGUCCCAUAACAGAGCAAGCCUUUGUCACCUUGUACUGUCGGCUGCCUUUAUACUUUAUAGUCCCCCCUGCUUGUCUGGUAGCUUCAAAAAGAAAGGACUGUGUCCUAUUCAUUUCUUUGUCCUGCAAGCUGGCAGACAUGCAAAGUUUGUUCAUAAGUAAAUGGAUGGAGUGAAUAAAUAAGUAUCA